CAAAAGGUCCAACAUCUCAAGAAAACUAAGAACAUCUGCACUGGUCAAAAUAUAUUUGAUCAAUGAAUAAAGAUAUUCAUCAUCUUCUCUUUCUUUAAAACAAUGCCAACUAUUCUGCGGUACUAGUAAGUAUUGCAUUUUUGAGAAGUCUAAGAUAAGAAAACUGAUGAGAAUGAUAAUACUUUGAUUCUGUUUAUAUAUUCUGCUCACUUCCGGUUGUUCGACCCAAACCCACGUCUCUUAUUUACAAUACAGCUUCACAGCCAGCCCGCGUAAGAGCCUUACAAAAGGGAUCAUUUACUAUGACAAACCAGUGGCGGUAAAUACACCGGCUGAUCGCAAAUAUAAUGUGUGGGCCCUACUCAACAUGGGAGAGAUUGAGGUUUGGAAGAAAGGUGUUACUGCCGUGACGGCGAAAACAUGGGCCCCGCUCUUCGCCAAAAUCGACGAGCCGACAAUGAAGUAAAGCAUCCUGCUUGGUCUAUGCGAAUCACGUUAUUUGUCCUGGAAUUUCCAGAAUAUUGCGAGUGCAUGUGGCACGAUUGAAUUCCGUCGCCCACGGCUCUCAAGUCUGCCGCAGAGGCAAUUCAUUGGAUCUCCUUCGCGUUGGGGUACAUCGCUCAUUCGAUGUAGAGAGAUUGGAGUACAGUCGCGCAAACAAACACCUUCCCUUCCACGAAUGAUCCCCGGGCAGCUGUCGUCAACGGGCUUCAAAAGAAGAACGAAAAACUAAUGAAGAAAAGUGUCUUUUCCGAGAAGGUCUCUAAUUCGCGUCCAAACACCCCAGUUGGAGCUGCAAGUCCAUGAGCGCUGUCCUAGCCCUUGAUUGAACUUCCGGUUUAAUUUGUAUAAAGUUCCAAUAUACAACACAGCUUAAUUUCAGUUGCUGUGGGUGUGAUACUCAGUAAUUUGAGUAAAUGGUUAUGUGAGAUGUGCAGCUUGGUCCUUGAUAUCCCCAGUUAUUAGGCUUCUUUUUCCAAGAUUGAUGUCCAGUUAGAAGUUCAGUUUACUUUUAUGAAGUGAAGUUAAGAGUUAAGUGUUGUACUGCAGUUAUUUAUAUCUCUGUUGUUGUUUACAUGUAUAUUCUAGAUGUUCUGCUCUAUUGUCAUGGCUUUGAAAGAACUAACUAAAGCUUAGAUCAAACAUGACAUAUUGAAAUGCUUACUAGUAGUUUUAUUGCUUCUGAAG
rnacentral:sRNA from 2 species